rnacentral:rRNA from 1 species
GACGGAAGGUGCAAGCGUUGCUCGGAAUCACUGGGCGUAAAGGGUGCGUAGGCGGCUUCUUAAGUCUGGUGUGAAAGCCCAGGGCUCAGCCCUGGAAGUGCACUAGAAACUGGGGAGCUUGAGUACCGGAGGGGAGAGUGGAAUUCCUGGUGUAGCGGUGAAAUGCGUAGAUAUCAGGAGGAAUACCGGUGGCGAAAGCGACUCUCUAGACGGUUACUGACGCUGAGGCACGAAAGCGUGGGGAGCAAACAGG